GAUGAACGCUGGCGGCGUGCCUAAUACAUGCAAGUCGAGCGAACAGACGAGGAGCUUGCUCCUCUGACGUUAGCGGCGGACGGGUGAGUAACACGUGGAUAACCUACCUAUAAGACUGGGAUAACUUCGGGAAACCGGAGCUAAUACCGGAUAAUAUAUUGAACCGCAUGGUUCAAUAGUGAAAGACGGUUUUGCUGUCACUUAUAGAUGGAUCCGCGCCGCAUUAGCUAGUUGGUAAGGUAACGGCUUACCAAGGCAACGAUGCGUAGCCGACCUGAGAGGGGAGCGGCCCCACGUGGAAAGGGGACCGGGGCCAGCCCCCAAGGGGGGGGAGCGGGGGGGAAUCUCCCGCAAGGGGGGAAAGCCUGAGGGAGCAACGCCGGGGGUGUGAGAAAGGUUUUCGGACUGUAAAACCCUUUUUUGGGGGAAGAAAAAAUGUGAAAGUAACUAUGCACGUCUUGAGGGUACCUAUGAAGAAAGCCACGGCUAACUACGU
rnacentral:rRNA from 1 species